GGGCUCACUUUGGCAGUACAUAUGCUAUAAAGCUGGAACAAUACAGAGAAGAUUAGCAUGGCCCCUGCCCAAGAUCGGUGUGCCUAUUUCUGAAACAUUCCAUUUUUUU